rnacentral:lncRNA from 1 species
GACACUUAUGUAAAGAAUUCAGUUUUAAGACAAUGAUCACUUAAAUGGUAAAAAUGAUUAGAAUAUAUAUAUAGAAAAAAAUAUCUGCAAAGCCAGAUAUCACUAGACAUACAGAAAAAUAUUAGUUUUUUUUAUGUUGGUGAGCUGAUCCUUUGAUAAAAAUGUCAUUUUUAUUUAUAUUGAUAUCAUGUUAUGGCAUCAUUCAUUUGGAAAUCAGGAUAUAGUAAAACAUUACUUUACGUUACAUGAUUUAACUGACGCUUUUGUCAAAAGUGAUUUACUAUAAAUGAAAGUUUACCUACUAAAACAGCAUCAAUACUACUACUACUAUUUUUUCCAGUCGCACUUGCAAUUUACAACAAAAAUUCUUCUGUAUACAUAAAGUCUCCAGUUAUAAUGAUAGAUUGGUUGAUUUUUUUUCGAUUGGAGGGACAGUGGAGUGGAAACAAUAUUUAGGAUAUCGUCAUAGAGUUAAUGUCCAUAUACCUCCAUGAGUUUUGUGUUUAAAAUAUCAGAUUCUUAAUGCAUGUGAGCCUGUAUGGCUCGUGCAUUUGAAAUUCCUCACUAAUGUUGCUACGAGGGGAUCGUGUUGCUAGGUUUGUCAUCCUAUAGGCAGGAUCCUUUCUCAUGUGGCUUGAAAUGAUUUUUUUUUUUAUCCCUUUGGAAUCAAGUGACCUUUCCUGAGCCUUAUGGUUAAAUUUUCAAGUUGAUACCGAACAUGUACUUUCCUUUUCCUAUUUGUCUUUUCACAAUCCUCAUGUUGAUGAUGGUGGUGCUCCUGCAAUGACGUCCCUCUGCUGCUGAAUGAAUGUAGGCCACUCUUCUGUUCCCCAAUUGCCUUCUUUUCCUCGCUGGUGUUGCUCUCUCUGUUCACAGUCGGCGUGACCAAAAACAGCCCUGAGGAGGCAUUGCCAUAAUUCCCCGUAAAUGACAACUAAUGAAGAUGCACCUUCAGUGGUCAGGGAUGAGCACUCUCCUCUUAUGGCUGCAUCAAGGCACACACUCAAUUAUCCCUGCAUGGAUACGCGUGUGUAUGAGUAGAGGGGGGCUGACUACACGGGCAGGCAGCAGCAGCAGCAGCAGCACUGAACAAACCUGCCAGCACUCGUCAGAGGACCUGUGAUGCCUUUGCUCAAGCUUUCAUGGAGUGGCCCCGGACAUAAUGGAUGACGCAAGUUUGCCAUCAAUCCCCUGUGAUGCCUGACCCCAGCUUGGAAACCGCUGUGAUUUCACUCCCACAACCACCACCACCACCAUCAUUUAACAGUGACUUGGAUGGACUGGCAAUGAAGUAAGUAAGUACGUAAGUAGGAAUAUUGGACUUUCUUCCUCUGCUCCAAACUACAAGCAGGCCAGCGAGCACCUGGAAGUCAGGAAAAGACAUACAAUGUCAGG